rnacentral:tRNA from 1 species
UGGGGUGUAGCUCAGUGGUAGAAUGUUUGCUUGGCACACCACAAGGACCUGGGUUCAAUCUCCAGCAUCUCAA